GGGGGAUGGAGACGUGGUUGGUGGAGGAGGAGUGGUAUGGUCCAAGGCUGUUGUGUGCCACUGCGCUCCAGUCCUCAUGUCUGUAAUAGGUUGCAGUAAAGCUCGGGAUUCGUUUUUGGUGGCUUCCUCGGAUCCUGUUCACAAUUGGUUCCUUGCCGAUGAAUGACUAGGAGGGUUCUCAUCACUAGAUGCCAAGCUGUCGUCAUCAAGACACAAUUCCUGAUUAAUAAACUGGAAGGCGGGUGAUGACACCCUGUACUACCAUAAAUCGCACUCAUUUCUAUUAUUAAUAAUAAUAAUAAUAGUAAUAAUGCCUACAAAGUACCAAAAGAUGGUCAGUCACACAAUAAACCAAAACCCUCCUGGAUUUCGGCUCCACACACCAUGUUUUUUUUUGUUUGUUUGGGGUUUUUUUGUAUGCGAUGUAUAUGGUCAUUCAUAAUUUUCUGGAUUUGUAAGAAAUACAAUGGUGGAUCUGUGGGGGGAGGGGAAGUGGAUGGGAAACGCUUCUGUAGUAAAAACAAAAUCUAGAAUGAAGGUUCAAGGAACCAGCCUCUAUAGCAUUUGCUUUCAUUUUGUUCACUUGUUGCAGACAUAGUUCCACUAUAUUAAGUUCGCCUAAAGAAAUCUAUACAUCUUCUCUGUAUAACGUGAGAACAGAAACCUGAAGCGUGUU